rnacentral:rRNA from 1 species
UAGGGAAUAUUAGUAACGGGCGCAAGCCUGAACUAGCAACGCCGCGUGUGCGAAGAAGGCCUUCGGGUUGUAAAGCACUUUUUGAGAGGAUGAGGAAGGACGGUACUCUCAGAAUAAGUCUCGGCUAACUACGUGCCAGCAGCCGCGAUAACACGUAGGAGGCAAACGUUAUCCGGAUUUACUGGGCGUAAAGCGCGUGUAGGUGGUUUGGUAAGUAGGGCGUGAAAGCUCCUGGCUCAACUGGGAGAGGCCGUUCUAAACUGCCGAACUAGAGGAUGGUAGAGGGAGGUGGAAUUCCGGGUGUAGCGGUGGAAUGCGCAGAUAUCCGGAGGAACACCAGUGGCGAAAGCGGCCUCCUGGACCAUUCCUGACACUCAGACGCGAAAGCUAGGGUAGCAAACGG